rnacentral:rRNA from 1 species
AUGAUGGAGGCUGCACAGGGUCGACCUUGGUCGGAUCUUCAGCCAGAACUCUUGGGCCUUGUCCUCAGCCGCCUCCCCUCCCUAGCUGACCGUGUUCGUCUGAGGGCAGUCUGUCACCCAUGGCGCUCUAAUAGUCUGCAGCAACCGCUUCCCCUCCCAUUCCCGUGGCUCACCCUCCCUAAUGGUACUUUUUGCAGCAUCCCAGGUGGUGAGGUUCACCGCAUGCCUGUACCAAAUGGUGCUAGUUGCCGUGGCUCAGUUGAUAACUGGCUAUUCCUCAUUCACAGUGAUGAUGAGUGCACAUUGAUGAACCUGUUCUCCAAGAGCAUGUUGGAGCUUCCCAACCUUGCCACAGUUUGGCAGCGUGAGGUUCACUACCAAUCUAAUCCUGAACAAUUUUUGUACAAGUUGGUGGCACCCUCACCCCUGGAUUCAUCACCAGAUUCACUUGUUGCGGCAUUGAUCAUUGGUGAUGGGAUUAUGAAAACACUUUGUGUGAGCCAGCCACCGAUUGUCACUUGCUUGUUCAGAUUCAACAUGCGACCAUUACCGGACCUAUUGGAUGUUGCAUUCUUGGAUGGAAAGUUGUACGUGUUAUCAGGCAGUCGCAAGCUCUACAUCCUUGAGUUCUGCAAGAAUCUUGGUAGCAAUUCAAACAUCAAAUCCAUAAUUGACGAUUAUGGUGAUUUUCUUGAUAUGCCAGAAUGCUUUCCCAGAGAGGAGAUAUAUAUGCUCAAGUUCUAUCUAGUUGAAUGUGGUGGUGGACUGUUGGUGGUGAAACGAUUUAUUCGUGUCAUGGGCCCUUUUCCCAGGGAUGAUCCCUUUGGAAAUACCCAGACUGCUGGAUUUGAUGUCCUCAAGGCAGACCUGCACUCUAACCCUUGCCAGUGGAGAAGGAUCAGUGAGUUGGGUGGCCAUGCUCUCUUUGUUGGCCAGCAUGGCUCCAAGUCUCUGCCUGCUACAGAAUGCUGUGGAUCCCAAGAGGAUUGCAUCUACUUCAUUUUUGACCACCCCCCUCCAAAGUUUUCUCCGAAUCCAUUUUACGACUGUGGUGUGUACAACAUGAGAAAUGGGAGGAUCACGCCAUUGAUGUCUCAGACUGCAGCACCUGCACAUGAUGCCGGCCAAUGGCGUUCGACGUGGGUUUUCCAUGCUGGAGCUGUGUGA